GAGCACGUAGGUGGGUUUGUAAGUCAGAUGUGAAAGCCUUCUGUUCAACGGAAGAAUUGCAUCUGAAACUACAAACCUUGAGUAUAGGAGGGGAGAAUGGAACUUCUGGUGGAGCGGUGAAAUGCGUAGAUAUCAGAAGGAACGCCGGCGGCGAAAGCGAUCCUCUGGCCUAUUACUGACACUCAGUGUGCGAAAGCUAGGGGAGCAAACGGGAUUAGAUACCCCGGUAGUCCUAACCGUAAACGAUGGGCACUAAGUAGAGGGGUUUU
rnacentral:rRNA from 1 species